GGGGGCGAAAGGUUUCGACUCAGAUAAGCUUGGGAAGAGCAGCAUGUCGAGGUUGUCAGGAGGCCUCGAAAAACACCUGGCACAAAUAAAACGCCAACUACAAUGCAGUAGCUGAAGCUGAGGGCAUUCUUGCUUUCAGUGAGGCGGUAGCUGUCGCCUAAUAAGGUGACCCGUCUACAGGUCUUGCCUGCGAGACUUGAUAGACGCCGUUAGCAGGCUGGCCAUUUCUUUUAUGUCUUUUUGGAAAUGGUGAGGAGCAUAAAAGGGCUUUGCUUGAUACUAUCCCGUCUGUCGGAGAGUAUUAGGCGAGACUAAUAGGCUGACUAAACAUGUAGAUACUGUUUCUGGGAUGUCAGAGGACGCGGAUUCGAUUUCCGCCGCCUCCACCA
rnacentral:tmRNA from 1 species